AUUAUAUCAGCCAUGCGGGCAGGGCUGCCGUACAUUUGUACCGAAAGAGAGCAAAUGUGAGCAGGCCAGCUUGAUUUUAACUACAAUUUGGGCUUUUUCCUUGUUAGAACACCCCUGGAAAAUGAAUGGAAAAUUCAAUGGUUUUGAAUUCAGUUGGACACCUUCAUUUGGGAAAAUGCAAGUAAGACUGAUGCUGCCUUUUCUGAAGAAGAUGGUCACUCAUAAUAAUUUUUUUACCUUUUCAGUUAAGGAAACCUGGUGUCUUGCAACUCUCUAUGCAUUAAAACUUAUUUUUAUUGGGGUGCUGGAAAGAUGCUGAUUAAAUGCAAAGAACACAUCUUUCUGUCUUCAUUGUUUAACCUUUUGCAUCCCCUUGCUUUUGGAAUAAUGCCCAACUGCAUUUUCAAACCAUAAAUUGCCUUUUACACCAGCAGCUCUCACUUUCUCAUACUCCCAUGAAGGAGAGACGCUUUGGGAUAUUAUUCUCUGCAGUUGCAAUUAAAAGUGGACUCUGGCUGGCAGAAUAAACUAAAAUAAAACUACAACGCCCCUAUUUAAAAAUUAACCAUUACUCACCAAAAGCACAUCAAACCCACUUAGCGGACAUCCGUUAAUCCCGCGGUGAGCUGUUUCAGGCUUUAAUGCACACUGUUUUACACGUUAAGGGUUUUGAAGUCGCGGGCCAGCGCUGACCUUUCGCAUCUGCUCCUCUCGCAGUAGGAAUCUCCGCUCGCCGCUCCCCGUCAGGGCGGAUUAACGUGACAAAGUGCAGCGCUUCUGCUGGCUGCAAUUUUGGGUUUUGAUCAGAAUUAUUUCUUUCACAAACAAUCACGUUUGGCUAAAACGUUACAUCUGCUCUGAAAAGCCACUGGCAGGGCCGCAGUUUAUCAGGGUGAGGGGAGUAUAAUUUUUUUUAUUCCUCUUUUAUAAAGCUGAAAGCCCACUUCACGUAGGUUUUUGGGGGGAGAGCUUCCCUUCUUCCUCCUCCCCUUGCCCUUUUCUUCCUUUAAUUUUGUUGGGCUGAGAUGAAAAGUUGCUUUGGACAAACAUAAAGCUGGCUGUGAUGUCUUGGAGGGGUUUGGUGGGGAAUGCGCUGAUGAGUGGGGAGCCCCAUGCUGAGUCAGCACCACACCUUUGGGUUUAUUUAUUGCUAAGGGUGCUUUGUAGGAAAGUAUUUUUUAUUCCUAGGAUCAGAGGGGAAAGUCCUGAUUUCAUGAUCUAGUGUGAUUUUUCUCAUGCUGUCAUGAGAAUAACGGUAGGCAGUUAAAUACAUGUCUAUGUAUGACCAAGGUGUCCCUGGUUGGGAGAAUCUUUAUUCCAUGAUACGGUGGGUGGGUGCUUGUACCAAGCAAAAAUACAAAAAACCCAUGGAACCUCUCAAAAUAUUGCACAUUGGAUGUACUCUGCCACUUCCAGGCAUGUGCUUGGAGCACACGGAGGGGUCUGAAGACAGUUGAAAAUGUUAAGUGUAGGUUGUCUAUCUAAAUUGUUGACAGUUAAGUGAGCCUCAUUCUUAAUAAUGUAACUUAAUGUAGCUGCCUUUAUCCAUUUCUCCGUGACCUGCUCCAGCCAUUCUUCCAAAUACCAGAGGCUGGAGGUGAAGCACAGGUCUGGGUGACCUACAGAUCACGUAGGGAGCAGUGGGCAUGGCAAACCAGGCAAGGUACCCAUCUGCUUGGAGGUUGAAGGAUGCCCUGAAGAGAAACAUGUUGUCUGGGAAGAUGCUUGCUCUCUCCUACUCUUUUUUUUUCUAAGGAUCUGUCACUUCUAGACUUGAAGUGUCUGUCUCUGCAAAAUAAUAUUUGAAUUUUAUAGUGCAGUAUGAAUUGGAAGCCUGCCAGUGCUGGCCUGGCUAAGUCUCCUGCUGAGUUCACUGCCCCCAUGUAUCAUCUACUCUCUUCCACUAUAAGAGGCAUCCAAACAUGAAGACCCAUUCAGCAGCUCAGUUGAGUGAAAUGAUUGCCUGGCUGGAUCUGCAGUAGAUGUUCCUUAGUUUGCUUUAUUUCACAGCUUUAGGUCUUUUUAGAUUCUGGCUUGUCCAAGAGGGUGAUUGGAAGACCUCUCCAAAUUCCUUGCACCUCCAUCGUGAUUUCUCUGUCACAUGUUUGAAUUGUUGACCUUGUCUUUAAAAAAACCAAACCAAAACAAAAAAGCUGACAGUGUAGUGGGUAGGAGGAUAGUGGAAGAUUAAAUGGUCAUGAGACCAGCCACUUCUUCUCUUAAUCCAUCAUAAAGCAAUGCCUUUCUUAUCACUCUUUGAUGUUUUCUUAGGAUCAUAAAUGGCAGAGAUUUAGAGGAUUAUCAGAGGCAGGAUAGGAUUGCCUGUGGAUACUCAGCAGAGAAGAUCUUGGAUAUUAAGCUGGUAGUAUGUGUAAUCUUGACCAAAAGACCAAGGAGAAUUUUGUCUGAGCGCUCCCAAUGUUAUCAACAGCUUGUACGGCACAUGAACUUCAUUUUCAUGUCUACAGAGUGAAAUCAUUCCUUCGCAUACGAGUAAAAAGAAACACUGGGGAGAAUUCUAGCAUUUUGUUCUGCUAUAGCCAGAUCUGUUCCAUCCAAAACAUGGUGCGAUGGGAUAAUGAACAUCUGUGUUCUUCUACACCAUACCUGAGCUCUAGAAAAGUCAGAGGAUUUGAGCACCUUUUUUGAAGUGGAGCAUUCACUGAAAUUAAUUCUUAUUUGGUCUGUUUUACAAUAGCUUCACGGCGUGGGCUGGCACCGUGCGAUCGAGGACAGUUCAUUGCCCGAGCGGCAGCAUCCUCGUGCAGCACGAAGCGCGUCGGUGAGCAGAGUGCCUUAGCAGAGGGUUCAGGUGCCUGGGUUCAAAAGGUGCAAUCACUUACUGUAAUAAAAAUGAGAAUAGGAAAAACGAUCCUCAGCACCGAGGCUGCUGGAAAAGUCAAGAUGUGGUAAGGAAGAAGGUAAUAGAUGUAACAUUUUGUAUCAUAUUAUCACCAAUAAGAGAAAAACAGGUCUAAAUUCAGCAGUUAUGAAAAUCCUGAUAUAAACAGUCUUAGAAAAGAUGAAGUUGAGGUUUGUUGUGCAGAUUGCACGCGAGGGUAUUUCCACACUUAGCAAGCACGAGGGAAAGAGGAAAGCAAAGCAAGGAGAAGGCUUUAAGAGCAGGUCAGCGGUCUCUACCUUCCUCUUAGUCCCUUUUCUUGCAUUGAUCGUGUCCCUUGGCCUUAGCAGAAAAUUUGUAUUUAUUUUUUGGACCAGUUGAAUCUCAGAUGGGGCAAAUUACGCUUGCACCUGCUUUCUGACAAAGUGAUGUCAUAGCUUAGGUCACUGCUGAGCUUGGAAGAUGAAGCUUUUGACUCAGACCUCUUUUGGAGAGCUGCAUCUCGAGCAUCAUCAGGACCGUGUCGCGUCUAGUGCUGCACCUGGUCUAGAUUGUGCUGAGCGAGCGUAAACUUCCCUCCGCCGCAAGCAGCCUGGGCUUUUCCUGGGACAGCAUUCCUGAAAUUGCCUUCUGUCAUCUCCUGCGGCUCUUGACAUUGUACCGGUACCUGUGUGAGAAACGUCCCCGCUGAGGAAAGGCCAUGCCUCCGAGCUCCGCUUCUCUUUGCUUCCAUUUAUUCUUCAUGUUCUUCAAAUGGGUAAAUCAUAUGACAAUAAACAGAAAUACCCUCAAUGAAGAGAGAAGGGGAAACUGUUGUUUAUCUGGUCAGGUGGUUUAGAUUAGCAGUGAUGCUGGUCUGUAUUAUGUUACUUUAAAUCAUAGUGUCCCAACAGGACAUAAAUUAUGAAGAUUGUUACAGUAUGUUUCAUCCAAUGUAAGAUCAACAAAUUGGAAUAAUUUUUUUAAUAGGAAAAUCAGUGCUUUGGCAGGGUUAUUGUUGAAGAAUUUAAUUUAACUUGAGCUUUGCUUGCAUUAUUUCUUAAUAUAUAAAAACUAUUUGCAUAAUGUAUGAAGUAUAAACAUUUUUAGAAUCAAAGGCAAGAAUGCCUUUUCCAAGAUUACAGAGUGGCAGACUACUUAGAAUAGAUCAGUGUUUGUGCUUUUGCUGUCAAAAAUGUUUGAUAUAGAGCUGGCGAGCUAGUUUCUUCACCGACAUAAUUGUAAACAAGUGUUGGGAGACAGAAACAGCGUGCUUUGUAGAACGUGGUGUAAAGGUUUUCACAUACGCCGCUGCAGAUCUAACAUGGAGUGCAGUGUUUACAGCUACAACAUGAAUAUAAAUAGGUAACUUUUUUUAGAGCACAAAGCAGCAUUUCACUUUUGUAUAAAUGAUGUGUGCAGAUAAGUAUGGGGGAUGCGAGCAGUCGGCUCUGGAUUUUGAAAGAAUAUUGUAAAUGCAGAAAAGCAUACACAAAUAAGUUGGAAAUUGUAGUUGUGGGUUUUUUUACAGUUUCACAUUUUGUUACGAAGACAGAAGUGGCACCUCAGUACAUGCCAGUAUGUCUGUAGUAUUCUUCUUCCAUCCUUUCCCUUUAUUAGUGUCCUUCAGAGUUAGGAGUACUGUUUUCCCCAAUCCCAAGCGAUGCUUGGGGAAUGGGAAAGUUGGCUGCAUUCACAAUACUUUGCUGCUCAAGCUAUUAAAGAGGAGGAAAACAAAUCUCUAGCAGUGGUUUGCAAGGUGUUAUUCACCUUCAGACCCUGCUGGCUGCCCAUGCCUGGAUGGGGUGGGAUGGAGGGAGUAGGGAAACACCGGCACAUCCGUGACUUGCACUCUCACCGGAGGGAUGGGGAUGCAAAUAACCUGAGUUUAGCUCUUUUUUGGGGCAUGAUUUAGUUGCAUUCUUAAGGACUGUCCUGCUGUUCUUGGAAUGAUAUUAAAAAGGGGGAAGAGCGAUGGGAAGGUGUUCCCCUGAUUUAUGUCGUGGAUGAAUCCAGACAAAGCCAAAAAAAAAGAAGAAAAGAGGAAAAUAUCUUAAUGCCACGUGGAUCCAGUGUCCCUGGGGAUGGUUCAGGCAGGCUGAUGAUGCCAGCAGGGAAGAAUCCCAAAAUGGGCACGUGGUUUUGAGAGUGAAUACGUGUCCUCUUGUGCUGCCAUUUCCUUCCUAAAUGCUAGCUGGAUUCCUCCUUUUUUGUGUUUUAACCAUGUUGUCACUUUCAGAUGAAGAGUGUGGCCUUGUGAGAUGAUUUUUGCGUAUUUGUAAGGUAAAAGUCUUUCUUAAUGGAGUAAAUAGAAUUAAAAUAAAACAAACGCUGCAUUUUUCUUGAGAGCACAACAGAAAAUGUCAUGAGAUUAAGUUAAACCCUUGUGACUAGCUAAACAUAACUUACAAGAGCUCGACAUUAAAGAGCUUUUUCCAUUUAUCUGCUGGCCUGUAGCUCGCUGUUAGGUAGUAACGUCAGCUGGAUAUGUGAAAGCUCCCGCAGUUUGGAAGUGAACCUUAAUGAUUGGAGAUUAUUGUUGUUGUAAGUGUCAAACUGCAAAGGAGAACACGUGCUGUAUACUGGGUAUUUUCACUUGGGUGAAUGGAAAGCAAAUGUGUGAGGCUUAGUCAUCUCUUGCCUUGUAUGACAAUGUCACUAUAACUUGUUUUAUUUAUUCAUUUCCCACUGAUAAAUGAUACAGAUGCAGCCCGGGUGGGUGGGGAAGACAGGUAGCCCUCGCACUGCAGAAGGUCAAGGUUAAUGCUACCUCCAGCAUUAUAAUGACAGAUGGGAGGCAGAAACCUUAAUGUACUUGUGAUUAGCAUAUGGUUUCCUUGGCUGAGUGUCCGGAGGAUUUAAGAAGCCCGGGUACGCUCUUCAUAGUGUACGCAUUUUAAAACAAACAAAUAAAAAGUGUGUAUGGUUA